UUUUUUUCAUAUGAUCCUAAACUCACGCAUUUUCUGUUUCUUGUCAUGAAUGUAAAUAAUACUUAAUGCCAACUUUUUCACAAUAUUGACAGGUGGCUGUUAUCUUCUCAAUCCUAAAAUAUUUAGCUUGAAACAGAGGGUUUUCCCCGUUUAUAUCAUACUUCAUAAAAUUUCGUCCAAUCCGAUCUCUUUCGACAGAUGCUAUUUGCUAGCAAAAACAACUUUCCAGAUAUCGAAACAUGCAACAUUUCAAUAUAUCAAUGCAAAUUCGCACGCUUCUAAAGAUAAAGCGACCUUGCUAAUUUUCUGGACUUAUCUCGAACGAGUUCAUCUCCCACAUGAGUCAACUUUUACAGUGUAAAAUAUCAUGUUGAUUAUAAUUGUUGCUUUGACUGAAAGCUACAAAUCUGGUCUUCGUAUGUUCUUGAAAAAGCAAUUGGCAACAAGUAUAGAGUCUCC